GAAUUACGAGCCCAAGCUUAAAACCCAAAGGACUUGACGGUUUCCCACUCCCCCUAGAGGAGCCUGUUCUAUAAUCGAUUCUCCCCGAUCAACCUCACCAUCUCUUGAUUUUAUCAGCCUGUAUACUUCCGUCGCAAGCUUACCUUGUGAACGCAUACUUAGCGUAGCCUAAAGAUCAUUUUCACCAGUACGACAGGUCAAAGUGCAGCUCACGGGAUGGAAGAAAUGGGCUACAAUUUCUACUUUAGAACAAACAAAAGACUAAAUGAAACUCAACCUAAAGGCGGAUUUAGAAGUAAAAGGAAAAUAGAGAGUUCCUUUUAACAAGGGCGCUGGGAUGCGUACAAACCGCCCGUCCCCCUCGUCGAAUAAAUAACAUAACGUAACUCACACCAUUAAUCUUCUUAGAGGAGGCAAGUCGUAACAUGGUAAGCGUACUGGAAAGUGCACUUGGUUAAACAAAAUGUAACUUAACAAAAGUAUCUUGCUUACACCAAGAAUAUGUCUGUAAAACCCAAACCAUUUUGAGCUCAAAAUCUAGCCCCCCCCUUUUUUAAUAAUAUAUAUUAUCAACAAGAAAAACUAAAACAUUUUCUCUACUUAGUAAAGGUGAUUAAAAAGUAUUUAGGAGCCUAAACACUAGUACCGCAAGGG
rnacentral:rRNA from 1 species